rnacentral:rRNA from 1 species
GACGAACGCUGGCGGCGCGCCUAACACAUGCAAGUCGAGCGAGAAAGCAGGAGCAAUCUUGUGAGUAAAGCGGCGUACGGGUGAGUAACACGUGGAUCAUCUACCUCUUUGUGGGGAAUAACCCUGGGAAACCGGAGCUAAUACCGCAUAAGUCCGAGAGGAGAAAGCGUCUUUGUGAAAGCAAAGCCGCGCAGAGAGAGGAGUCCGCGGCCGAUUACGUUAGUUGGCAGGGAAAAGCCUACCAAGACAAAGAUCGGUAGCCGGCCUGAGAGGGCACACGGCCACACUGGCACUGAAACACGGGCCAGACUCCUACGGGAGGCAGCAGUGGGGAAUCUUGCACAAUGGGGGCAACCCUGAUGCAGCGACGCCGCGUGAGCGAUGAAG